rnacentral:lncRNA from 1 species
UUGACGAGAGAAACUUAUUAUUAGGAAGGCAACUCCAAAUAAUACAUUUAUUACCCGCUCAAAUCAAUAGGAUAUUUGGAGCGCUACAAGUUCAAAAAUAUUAGCGGCAACAUUGACAAAGCGACAACGCAAGAUUAUAUAUGAUGCACUGUCCUUUGGGGUAUCCUAUUCCCUUACAAGCUUUCCUGCAGGGAUCAUCUGUGCAAACGAGAUCCUUGUAAUUUUUAUAUAUGGCGCACUGGGCAUUUACCAUGGACAAUUCCCCUGCAAGCAUAAAAAAAAAAAAGCAGUCAAUUAAGGAUGUCGUUGGCACCAACAACUAUAUUAAAAGUUUUAAAAAAUAUAAUAAAUACUUAGAAUACUUGAUUGAUAAAUUUUUUUUUUAAUGUGCCUGAAGAAAUUGUCUACAAUGUCAGUCCAAUAAUUUGCCAUAAACUUCUAGUAGAAUAUCAAUAUCACAAACUUCAAUAUUAACUUAAAAUAUAACAAAUUAUAAAAAUAAAAAAGUUACAAUUUAUUUUUCAAGCCCUCUAACCUUUUAUAUAUAUGCAUUUAUAUUAAAAGUUUGCAAAGAUCGUACCAGAGACCAGCAUGAGCAGCAAAAGCAUAGAAAAAACAAUUAUUUUCUUCUUUGCAUCCAUGGCAGCAGCUAUGUAU